GACGAACGCUGGCGGCGUGCUUAACACAUGCAAGUCGAACGGAAAGGCCCUGCUUUUGUGGGGUGCUCGAGUGGCGAACGGGUGAGUAACACGUGAGUAACCUGCCCUUGACUUUGGGAUAACUUCAGGAAACUGGGGCUAAUACCGGAUAGGAGCUCCUGCUGCAUGGUGGGGGUUGGAAAGUUUCGGCGGUUGGGGAUGGACUGGCGGCUUAUCAGCUUGUUGGUGGGGUAGUGGCUUACCAAGGCUUUGACGGGUAGCCGGCCUGAGAGGGUGACCGGCCACACUGGGACUGAGAUACGGCCCAGACUACUACGGGAGGCAGCAGUGGGGAAUAUUGCACAAGGGGCGGAGGCCUGAUGCAGCAACGCCGCGUGCGGGAUGACGGGCUUCGGGUUGUAAACCGCUUUCGCCUGUGACGAAGCGUGAGUGACGGUAAUGGGUAAAGAAGCACCGGCUAACUACGUG
rnacentral:rRNA from 1 species